CAAUCUGGAGAGAGGCGUCGGCACCCGUCAGUGCCAGGCGUCCACCGAAGGGGAAGCCCGGGAUUUCAAGGCGGCGUCGCCGUCUGUCUCGGGGCGAGCUCUCAGGUACCGCGACAGAUUG
rnacentral:ncRNA from 2 species